UACGUAGGGGGCAAGCGUUGUCCGGAUUUAUUGGGCGUAAAGAGCGUGUAGGCGGUUCGGUAGGUCCGUUGUGAAAACUCGAGCUCAACCUCGAGACGCCGAUGGAAACCCUCGAACUAGAGUCCGGAAGAGGAGUGUGGAAUUCCCGGUGUAGCGGUGAAAUGCGCAGAUAUCGGGAAGAACACCCGUGGCGAAGGCGGCACUCUGGGACGGUACUGACGCUGAGACGCGAAAGCGUGGGGAGCGAACAGG
rnacentral:rRNA from 1 species